rnacentral:rRNA from 1 species
GAUUGAACGCUGGCGGCAGGCCUAACACAUGCAAGUCGAACGGUAGCACAGGAGAGCUUGCUCUCUGGGUGACGAGUGGCGGACGGGUGAGUAAUGCAUGGGGAGCUGCCCAAUCGAGGGGGAUACCAGCUGGAAACGGCUGCUAAUACCGCAUACGCCCUGAGGGGGAAAGGUGGGGACCUUCGGGCCUACCGCGAUUGGAUGCACCCAUGUGGGAUUAGCUAGUUGGUGAGGUAACGGCUCACCAAGGCGACGAUCUCUAGCUGGUCUGAGAGGAUGACCAGCCACACUGGAACUGAGACACGGUCCACACUCCUACGGGAGGCAGCAGUGGGGAAUAUUGCACAAUGGGGGAAACCCUGAUGCAGCCAUGCCGCGUGUGUGAAGAAGGCCUUCGGGUUGUAAAGCACUUUCAGUAGGGAGGAAGGGUUGAUGUCUAAUACGCAUCAACAUUGACGUUACCUACAGAAGAAGCACCGGCUAACUCCGUGCCAGCAGCCGCGGUAAUACGGAGGGUGCAAGCGUUAAUCGGAAUAACUGGGCGUAAAGCGCACGCAGGCGGUUAGAUAAGUCAGAUGUGAAAUCCCCGGGCUCAACCUGGGAACUGCAUUUGAAACUGUCUGACUAGAG